rnacentral:rRNA from 1 species
CAGCAGCCGCGGUAAUACGUAGGGUGCGAGCGUUAAUCGGAAUUACUGAGCGUAAAGCGUGCGCAGGCGGUUCGCUAAGUCUGAUGUGAAAGCCCCGGGCUCAACCUGGGAACUGCAUUGGAAACUGGCGAGCUUGAGUGUGGCAGAGGGGGGUGGAAUUCCACGUGUAGCAGUGAAAUGCGUAGAGAUGUGGAGGAACACCGAUGGCGAAGGCAGCCCCCUGGGCUAACACUGACGCUCAGGCACGAAAGCGUGGGGAGCAAACAGGAUUAGAUACCCUGGUAGUCCACGCCCUAAACUAUGUCAACUGGGUGUUGGGGAAGCGAUUCCUCAGUACCGUAGCUAACGCGUGAAGUUGACCGCCUGGGGAGUACGGCCGCAAGGUUAAAACUCAAAGGAAUUGACGG